GGGGAUAUAGCUCAGUUGGUAGAGUGUUUGCCUUGUAUGCACAAAGCCCUGGGUUCAAUCUCCAGGAUCACAC
rfam:Ictidomys tridecemlineatus contig032656, whole genome shotgun sequence.